ACUUUAAUAAUUUAAAAAAAAUAAUGGUCUUGUAAACCAUAAAUAAGUCAACACUUUUAAAGUA
rnacentral:tRNA from 1 species